CUUACCUUGUGGUGGAUCAUCCUACGCUGCUUGCUCCCUCAACCCACACCCAUGUCCAACCACACAGAACCAUGCUCGUCUACCAACUGCCUCGCCUACUCCUCCGAAAUGUCAACUUCCAGAAGCGGUGUUCUAGUUUGCUUUCUGUUGCUAUGACAACCAAAAGUAACAGGGAAGAAAGAGUUUGUUCCAGCUUAACAGGUCACGCUCCAUCACCAAGAGAUAUCAGGGCAGGAAAUCAAGGCAAGAACUAACACAGAAACUAUGGAAGUCAUGGAGAUAUUUGCAAUAAACUCCCAGAGACUGCGAAUUAUUAACUUGGAUCUCAUCUUCUCCAUGUUCCUGAGACCUCCCGGUACAAGAACAAAAGGCUGUCUCCAGGCCCAUGUUCCCUGUCCCCUGGCUCAGGGGUCUUCAGUUGAGGCUUGACUCCACUCAUUCUGGGGGCACCACCCAUGCUAAGCUGUACCUCUGCCAGCACCGGGGAAACCAAAUCAGGACCCGAGCCUACGGACUGCCCACUUCAGCUAUGCCAAAUAGAGAACUAGUACUUCUGCUGGUGGAAGUGGGAAAAAAAAAAAAGAGGAACCACUGCUGAGCAAAUAUAAUGGCUGGAGCUGCAUGCAUGUAGAUGGCAUCCAUCUGCCCCCCUCCAUUCUGUACGGAACUGCAAUCAAGUGUGCUGAUCCUAAUAAAGACAUCUUAGAAAGUGUGUGUGGAAAGGGUGUCUGAAGCUCAGGCACUGUGGGCUCUUGCCUCCUCUUUACUAUGGUAGGCUUCCUGGCAGCUAACACAGACCCUUCCAUGUGUAGGUCUGACUCAUGUAUUAGUAGCUGAUGAAACAAAUUUUGGCUGUUUCACAGUCUGUCGGUAGCUUUGAAAAAUAAAAACAACAAGCCUCUGCCAGAGUAAAAUGGACACUUCAGAAACCCUUUUCAAAAGUCAGUUGAUACACCAGGAUUAAGUGCUUUGGGAAAGCAAUGGAACAUGUCUUUCUAAGCGAUUAAGUCAAAUGUUUUCGAAAACGUCUGACCCUGUUUAGUUAAAAACAUAUUUUUCCCCUCUUUUAGAACAAAGACUUCUCACUGGGCCUAGAGUCACAGGCCUGUAAACUCAGGCACUCGCAAGGCUGAGGCAAGCAGAGAGCAAGUUCGAGGCCAGCCUGGCUAAUUUAAGAGCUUGGCUCAACACCAAAACCAGGCUGGGGGUUUGCAGCUGCGUGGCAAAGUACUUGCUUGGAAUGUAUUAAGCCCGAGUUUGAUCUCCUGCAGUACCGACACCCAUCCUUCCCCAUGCUAGUUUUGCUGUGUCAGUUGCUCUUGGUUUAAUUAUAGCCACUGGAAC